rnacentral:rRNA from 1 species
UACAGAGGGGGCAAGCGUUGUUCGGAAUUACUGGGCGUAAAGGGCGCGUAGGCGGCCUUCUAAGUCGAACGUGAAAUCCCUGGGCUCAACCCAGGAACUGCGUCUGAGACUGGGAGGCUCGAAUCCGGGAGAGGGAUGUGGAAUUCCAGGUGUAGCGGUGAAAUGCGUAGAUAUCUGGAGGAACAUCGGUGGCGAAGGCGGCAUCCUGGACCGGUAUUGACGCUGAGGCGCGAAAGCCAGGGGAGCAAACGGG